UUUCCGUAGGUGAACCUGCGGAAGGAUCAUUAAAGUUAUAGUCCCCCGGCCCUCUGGGCUGGGGUCUUCUAAACCACCCUUUGUUUAUUACACCUUUGUUGCUUUGGCAGGCCUGCCCUCGGGCUGCUGGCUCCGGCCGGCUCGCGUCUGCCAGAGGACCUAAACUCUGUUUGUAUAUGAAGUCUGAGUACUAUAUAAUAGUUAAAACUUUCAACAACGGAUCUCUUGGUUCUG
rnacentral:misc_RNA from 1 species